UACGGAGGGGGCUAGCGUUGUUCGGAAUUACUGGGCGUAAAGGGAGCGUAGGCGGAUAGUUUAGUCAGAGGUGAAAGCCCAGGGCUCAACCCUUGAAUGCCGGUUGAUACUGUCGGGCUAGAGUCCGGAAGAGGCGAGUGGAAUUCCCGGUGUAGCGGUGAAAUGCGCAGAUAUCGGGAGGAACACCAAUGGCGAAGGCAGCUCGCUGGGACGGUACUGACGCUGAGACGCGAAAGCGUGGGGAGCAAACAGG
rnacentral:rRNA from 1 species